rnacentral:lncRNA from 1 species
GGACACAGAUGAUAUCUCCCUAGGUUCCCUCUCCAGAAGAAGUCUUCUUUAGCCUUCACAGGAUUGAGAAUGAGCUGGCCUGCAGAUUGGGAUGGGAUAAGGUGCUUCUCCUCCAAAUGCGAGGGCUACCACUAAUCCCAGAGUUGCAUCUUAGAGGACAAAGGGCAAAGUGUGAG